ensembl:lncRNA
AGCGCAAGGCCCCAGAGCACAGGCAGGAAAAGAGAGCAACUUCCGGCCGUCCUGGCGCCCCAUUCCAGUGGAGGGGGAAAGGCAGGAAGCAGAAGGAUCACUGGGAACUCGGGGAGUAGAUAAGCGGGGGCCGCUGGGGAGGAAACUGGGCCAGGUGGAAGCGGUUGUUGAGAAGGUACUGGCGCUGGAUGUACUUUGCAGGGCAGCUGCCGGACGAGGAGGCGAAGCGGGUCUCUGGCUGGAGCCCCUUGCGGAUGAGCUGCCCUGGGCCAAGGUGUGGGAUGGGAGCUGUUACAGGCACUGGGCCUUGAGUUCCUGUCAGACACCAGGGUUCAAACUCAGGACCUUGUGCUUGUGAGGCAGCCACGAUGCCAUGGAACUAAAUCCCCAGCCCUGUAAUAAAGUUUUAAAAAUAAACUUUCACCCUG